rnacentral:rRNA from 1 species
UACGUAGGGGGCAAGCGUUGUCCGGAUUUAUUGGGCGUAAAGAGCGUGUAGGCGGUCAGGUAGGUCCGUUGUGAAAACUCGAGGCUCAACCUCGAGACGCCGAUGGAAACCAUCUGACUAGAGUCCGGAAGAGGAGAGUGGAAUUCCUGGUGUAGCGGUGAAAUGCGCAGAUAUCAGGAGGAACACCUGUGGUGUAGACGGCUUUCUGGACCAUAACUGACGCUGAGACACGAAAGCGUGGGUAGCAAACAGG